CAGAUACAAAGUACAUUCCUAUUGCAAGAAUGCCCUUCUGGAAUCCCUCUAGGCAAAAAUCACCAUCUGGCUUGAAAGAAGGAACCUACACAUGAGUUUCCCUGGGCACACAGAGAAGCUGAUUAAAUGGAAGGGAAGGUUGCCUUAUCCAAGAGUGAAACCUUCUGCUAGCAGGACCUGGGAAGAGCUUCGGCAGAAAUAAAAGUAUGCUAAAGCUGUGGCGUGAAGGAAGAUGAGGACCAAGAGUGCUUCUGGAGGAUGGCCUGGAGUUCCUGAGGAAGGCACGCUAGCUAGGUAAGAUGAGCCUUGUAGGACAAGUGAGAACAAAGUAGGAUGCAGUCUUUCUGGGGAGAUGACCUGUGCUGGAAGAAACUACGUAUAGGGUAUGUUCACAUCCUUAUUCUUUCUUCUGUUAAGAUGAAAUGAGGAAAGCCCUAUGAAUAAAAUGGUAUUUUCUCACUAUUUUUUCCCUACCUGGAUCAGUAUGAUCAUACAAUCAUUUUGAACACAUGUGGAAAUGAAAUGGCAAGACUAAUUUGAAUCCAGAACUGUUUAACUACUUCUGAGACAUUUGAAAAAAGCAGCUCAGAAAACAAAACAGCAACUAGAUAUAAAUUGCCAUUUUGCCUCUAUGGCUUCAACUGCUAUGCUGUAUCAUGUCAUUCAUUUCCAAACAUAAUUUCUCUUUGGAAAGGCGUUUUCCACUAGGUUCCAAUAACUAUGACCUCACAAUUCAAACUUUCUUUUCAUUAUGGAAAUACAAAUAUUUAUUUUGUGUGUUUGUUGAAAACCUGCUUGUUAUUAGCCCAACAAACUAUUUUUCUGGAGUUCUGCAAUAUGACUGUAAUGGGGCCAGUUUAUGAAAUUUGGAUGUUUUCAUCCUGCUGUAGUAUCUAGCUCAGUACUUCUCCUAUACUUGCCAGCCAUCUCAAAUACAAGUAAUUAGGUUCUAUGGGUCUAAUUUUAAUUGGCUGUUGUGCCCUAUGUUGUGUUUUCUUAUAGAGUUGCAACGAAUUGCUGUGCUCUUAAAUGAGGCAAGAAAGAAGAAAUAGAUUUUAUUAAACUGAGAUACUUGUGAGUUAUAGUAAAGGCAGCCACAAAUUAGCAUGGUGUGGGAUCCUCCCUGAAUAGAUCUCACCUACCAGAACAAUGCAUUGUGAAAUUCCCUGUUUCAUGUUAUUUAGAGUUUUCAGAUCUGAAGGCAGGGGGGAAAGAUUGUCAUGACAAUAGUGGUAAUAGCUUUUACUGCAAAUAUUUUGGAAUAUAAUAUUUAUUAUAAUGUUUAUGGAGCAAUCAGAUUCAGGAUUGUGUCACCAGGUCUGAAGAUGCCUUUAGGAAAGAUGUUACUCGUGGUCUGAAAAAACUGCAAUCAGUUUAUUAACAGUCAUGUGAGUAAUCUGUUUGAGAAUUCAGGACCCAGCGAUGACCCUCAUGGAAAACAUGAUAGCUUCUUUCAUUUUGGUGUUGCUGAUUCUGAUCUAGCUUCACCAAUCUGUCAAAUAUCAGCUGUUUAAAUUAGGAUCGUUGGGGCUUGUCUUGUUCUGUCCUUCAGCCAGUCAUAUGCUUUACUUAAUUUGCAGUACUACACUGUCACUCUUCCCAACCCCUUAUCCAGUGCUUCAUAUAUUUUGGUUGGUUUGAUCUGUUUUUCUGCAAACAGAAAGAUACUGCAUGCUGUGUCACCAGACCUCAACUUUUGCUAGUACUUUGCACAGUGUACUCAAAGAAAUACAUAGAGGACAUAACUUCUAGCUUCAGGCUUUUGCUUAGGCCAGGAUCCAUUCUGCAACUGGAUGCUUCAGAAAAGGAAAAGACACAGAGAUCUGGAUUUGCUUACCCAUAAUCCUGUAGCUAUGAAAAUAAAUAUAAAAUAUUAUUGUUAAUCAGGAAGAGCAUUGCAACUUCUGAGAUUACAAAUUCAAUAAAUUAUUAAAAUGCUGAUGAAUAUUUUUUGUUAAAAUUCUGUUUGGAAUAAAUUCCAUCAAAGAUUAAAUAUUACAGGCUUUUCAUACAAAAAACUUCCAAGAAAUCUAUUUCCUUCUCUCUACAUGAUGAAAUGCAGAUAGUGAAUAAUGGAAUGAAUGAGAACUUUGUGUUAAUAUAAAAUAGAAUUUUAACAGAAAUGUCAUUAUUUUGGGGUAUUUUUUAAAAUAUGAACUUAGAAAAUAAAAUAUUUCUAUUUAUUUUCAGAAGAAAAGUAUUCUCCACUUCAACCAAAAGUUAGAGAGUUGAUGCACAGACUGGAUGAAUUUCUAAAAUUUAUCAUCUUCUUAUGGCAGCAGGACUUCUGUUAUCAAAAUGUAUCAUCUUUAACCACAGAAUUUGAGUUAUGUCUCCAACAGCUGGUUAUUGGCAAAGCAUCUUCUGUUGAGGACAGAGCAUGCAACUGCUCACAGUCUUUUCUCAGCCCACUGCAGAGAAUUUGCUAGGUUAUUUGUGAGGAAAUUGGCAAGCCUGCUGUGUGUACUCAGGCAUCCUGGGAAUUUCACUAGUCAAAGUUGAAAAGUGCAAAAACUGUCAAUCAGUGUGUAUUUACCAUUUUCCUUUCUUUGUCCAAGAUUGAUGCUGUUGGAGGAGGCGAAAGACUGUGAUGAGACAAAAAAACCAGCAUGCCUAAUGCACAAUUUAUUCAAGAGUUGGUUUUUUCUCCAAAUUUUAUGGAACCUUGUGCACUCUGUCUCAAAGUUGCCGUAACACCUGAUACACAAUACAAAAUACAUUUAUGCACAACACACAACAUAAAGGGUACAUAUGACUCAUUAUCUUUAUAUUUCCAGAAAAUGGUUCUUAUCCAGUUUCCCCAUCUUUACACAAAUUUUCCAAGGUUUGUUUGAGAGCAUUUAUGUUUGAAUAUAAUAUCCACCCGCCCAAUGAAAAUUUCCAUUUAAAAGACUACCACUUCACCCUGUUCUUACAGCACUUCUUAUUGAGAGGUUUGAUUUACUCUUCAAGUCUGAACUUUUAAGUCUUCUUGAUAGAGGUAAUAAGUCUUUCAUUCUACUAUACAGUUAGUCCUAUCCCAAUUCUUACUCCAGUCAUUUAUUUCUCUCUUCCUAGUCUGCUGUAUUGCUAUCUGCCCAUUUAUUAUCCCAUCUCCCUCACUGAAUUGUGAGGGUUGCCAGUGUAAAUAUUAAAAGCCUGGGGUUUUAAUCCAGCCAUAACACAAAAUGGUUGCUUAUCCUGACAUUCCUGUCCUUCCAUUUUUUUCAGCUAUGCUUACUCAGCUCUACUCUCUCAGAAAAUAAUAUUCAGUAAGGACAGUACCUGCUGACAAUAGCUCUUAUGAGAAUGGAUAAUACUGUUUCUUCCUCAUUUUCUUGAAUAAUCCUAAAGGGGAAAAAAUUGCACUUCAACCAUCUAUUCCUAUCCGUCUUGUUUAUUUAUCACAUUUAUCACAAUUUAAGGUGUGUUUCAGGUUUUAGAAUUUCUUCCAGUAACAGAGACUUUCUUUACAUGUUAGGUGUUCUUAACAUUUAAAAACUUUGCUUUUAAUCAGCUUUCAGCUUUGGAGAUAAAUUUUACUGUACAAAACCCUAUGCUACUUUAGUUAAAAGACAACAAUUCUGGGGCAUCUACUUCUCAAAUGUAAAAUGACUUUGAAAGGGUAGCUUAGUCCCAGAAGCCACUUUUCAGUUAUAGUUGCAUACCUUUUCAUGUAGAAAAUGCACUUAGAAUUAUCUUUAUCAGGGCCAAACACCUUUCCUACUUCAUCUAAUUCCCUGGAAAUAUUUCAGUUGAAACAGAAGAAAAAAAUAGGAAGAUGAUUUUAAUAUGUGCUUUUCAUCAGAGUAACACCUUAACCUAUAGUAAUGCAGUGUCUGCUAUGGACUGUUGAUAUGAUACAGUUUUACUCAGUUGAAAAGGGACCAAACAGAGGAAUUAACAAAAUGAACAAAGGAUUUAAGAAGUUUAGCCCCUUUGCUUCAUGAUUUUUCCGAGGCUCUUAACUCUGAAAUCUAUUAUCUCUGUACACCUGAAAAGGACAGGACUGGAUAUAUUUUUCCUUAAAUUCUGUAAAAUUUUACCUUUGAAAUUACUACUACAACUGUUGCAUUAAGUUGACUGACUGAUGAACUGUGGCUUCAGGUUAUACUUUGAGUUCUCAUAGUGCUUAAAGCAACAGGUUUCCAAUGCUAAUGGAAUCUUUUAGACACUAUAUUAUAGUUAUGACCAAUUUUUUUAGAUUAUUGUAUAUUUAUAGUACUCAAUCAAUGGUUUUAUCACACAUUUCAGGCUUAGUUAUUCAUCAGCUACUGUGUGUGGUUUGAAAUGAUGUCUUCUUUCACAUUCUUCAUUACUUUACAAACCCUAGCCUAACUGAAGAAUCUGAGGCAGCUGAGCUUGUUUGGAGUAGCAGAGUGAAGGCUAAGGAAGUUCUCACAGCAGGCAGCAACUCAAAGGGUAGCUACAAAGAUGACAGAGCCAAAGUCUUCUUGGUAGUGGCAAUCAAUAUGACAAGAAGGCCAAAAGAUACACUGAACCUUGAAAAGUUCAGAUUGGAAAGGGAGAGAGAGAC